rnacentral:ncRNA from 1 species
AAAUAAUGGAGACCAGCGACCAUUUCAAAACGGGGCGACACCGAAAAGCCAAACGAGUAGGGACAUA